GGCUCUGUGGCGCAAUGGACUUCUAGUUGAAUGUAGUUAUUCAAAGGUUGUGGGUUCAAAUCCCACCAGAGUCG
rnacentral:tRNA from 1 species